UACAGAGGGUGCGAGCGUUGUCCGGAAUCACUGGGCGUAAAGGGCGCGUAGGUGGUGGCUUAAGCGUGCGGUGAAAGCUCGGAGCUCAACUCCGAGUCGGCCGUGCGAACUGGGCUCACUGGAGCAUAGUAGAGGCAGGUGGAAUUCCGGGUGUAGCGGUGGAAUGCGUAGAGAUCCGGAAGAACACCGGUGGCGAAGGCGGCCUGCGGGGCUAUGGCUGACACUGAGGCGCGACAGCGUGGGGAGCAAACAGG
rnacentral:rRNA from 1 species